rnacentral:lncRNA from 10 species
CCACGUGAGAAGUGCCUUUCGCCUCCCGCCAUGAUUCUGAGGCCUCCCUAGCCAUGGGGACCUGUCGUCGCUGCCCUCAGCCUCCAGAUGCAGCCCCCCUGCCACCUUCAGGACCCCUGGCUCUCCCCUGGACUCAGUAGCGAAAGGGUUUAUGUGCUCGGAGGGAGACCUUCAGGAAUCUGUGCAUAGAAUGCCAUAGUGCAGAGGAAAGUCUUCUUUCUGAAACCAGCCCAACUUUUCUCCCAGAGAGUAUCAUGGAACUGAACUUUCAAGAUCAUGGCAUCUGGACAUCGAGAAAACAGAACCCUCAUCUGGCCACCUGCUGCUUUUUGACCAAUUCCCAUAUAAACCGCUAACUUCAGUCAGUUGGAGGGAUGGAUUUGAGAUUUGCCUUCUGUCUCUCAGGUGAUGUCACCAGCAAUAAAGCCUUCUUCCCUGGC